rnacentral:rRNA from 1 species
UACGGAAGGUGCGAGCGUUAAUCGGAAUUACUGGGCGUAAAGCGCACGUAGGUGGUUUUAUAAAGUCGAAUGUGAAAGCCCCGGGCUUAACCUGGGAAUUUGCAUCUGAUACUGUCUGACUAGAGUAUGCUAGAGGGAAGUGGAAUUCCAGGUGUAGCGGUGAAAUGCGUAGAUAUUGGGAAGAACACCGGGUGGCGAAGGCGGCAACCUGGUCCUUUACUGAGCUGAGGCGCGAA